rnacentral:rRNA from 1 species
GACGAACGCUGGCGGCGUGCUUAACACAUGCAAGUCGAACGGAAAGGCCCUGCUUGCAGGGUACUCGAGUGGCGAACGGGUGAGUAACACGUGGGUGAUCUGCCCUGCACUUCGGGACAAGCUUGGGAAACUGGGUCUAAUACCGGAUAGGAGCCAUCUUUAGUGUGGUGGUUGGAAAGUUUUUUCGGUGUAGGAUGAGCUCGCGGCCUAUCAGCUUGUUGGUGGGGUAAUGGCCUACCAAGGCGGCGACGGGUAGCCGGCCUGAGAGGGUGUACGGCCACAUUGGGACUGAGAUACGGCCCAGACUCCUACGGGAGGCAGCAGUGGGGAAUAUUGCACAAUGGGCGCAAGCCUGAUGCAGCGACGCCGCGUGGGGGAUGAAGGCCUUCGGGUUGUAAACUCCUUUCGCUAGGGACGAAGCUUUUUUGUGACGGUACCUAGAUAAGAAGCACCGGCUAACUACGUG